rnacentral:rRNA from 1 species
UGGGGAAUUGUUCGCAAUGGGCGCAAGCCUGACGACGCAACGCCGCGUGGAGGAUGAAGACUUUCGGGUCGUAAACUCCUUUCGACCGAGAUGAAUUUCCGCCGACCUAACACGUCGGCGGGGUGACAGUAUCGAGGGAAGAAGCCCCGGCUAACUCCGUGCCAGCAGCCGCGGUAAUACGGGGGGGGCAAGCGUUGUUCGGAAUUACUGGGCGUAAAGGGUCUGUAGGUGGCUUGCUAAGUCAGACGUGAAAUCCCUCAGCUUAACUGGGGAACUGCGUCUGAGACUGGCGAGCUUGAGUGCAGGAGAGGAACGCGGAAUUCCAGGUGUAGCGGUGAAAUGCGUAGAUAUCUGGAGGAACACCGGUGGCGAAGGCGGCGUUCUGGACUGCAACUGACACUGAGAGACGAAAGCCAGGGGAGCAAACGGG